rnacentral:rRNA from 1 species
AGUGAACGCUGGCGGUAGGCCUAACACAUGCAAGUCGAACGGCAGCACGGUAAGAGCUUGCUCUUACGGGUGGCGAGUGGCGGACAGGUGAGGAAUACAUCGGAAUCUACUUUUUCGUGGGGGAUAACGUAGGGAAACUUACGCUAAUACCGCAUACGACCUACGGGUGAAAGCAGGGGAUCUUCGGACCUUGCGCGAUUGAAUGAGCCGAUGUCGGAUUAGCUAGUUGGCGGGGUAAAGGCCCACCAAGGCGACGAUCCGUAGCUGGUCUGAGAGGAUGAUCAGCCACACUGGAACUGAGACACGGUCCAGACUCCUACGGGAGGCAGCAGUGGGGAAUAUUGGACAAUGGGCGCAAGCCUGAUCCAGCCAUACCGCGUGGGUGAAGAAGGCCUUCGGGUUGUAAAGCCCUUUUGUUGGGAAAGAAAAGCAGCAGGUUAAUACCCCGCUGUUCUGACGGUACCCAAAGAAUAAGCACCGGCUAACUUCGUG